UGCCCAGCAACUCCUAUCCCUACCUCCACGCGGUACCGGCCGGAAACUAUGAGCAACCUUAGAUUAGAUCGGGUAACCAACCCCGGUGGGAACUUUGGUCGUAGGCUGACAGGGAAGG
rnacentral:ribozyme from 1 species